UACAGAGGGUGCGAGCGUUAAUCGGAAUUACUGGGCGUAAAGCGUGCGCAGACGGUCAUGUAAGUCGGGUGUGAAAGCCCCGGGCUCAACCUGGGAAUUGCAUUCGAGACUGUGUGGCUAGGGUGCGGAAGAGGGAAGCGGAAUUUCCGGUGUAGCGGUGAAAUGCGUAGAUAUCGGAAGGAACACCAGUGGCGAAAGCGGCUUCCUGGUCCAGCACCGACGUUCAGGCACGAAGCGUGGGAGCAAACAGGG
rnacentral:rRNA from 1 species